rnacentral:rRNA from 1 species
UACAGAGGUCUCAAGCGUUGUUCGGAUUCAUUGGGCGUAAAGGGUGCGUAGGCGGCGCGGUAAGUCGAGGUGUAGUAAUCGUCGAGCUUAACUCCGAAACUGCAUUCGAUACUGCCGUGCUUGAGGACUGGAGAGGAGACUGGAAUUUACGGUGUAGCGGUGAAAUGCGUAGAUAUCGUAAGGAAGACCAGUGGCGAAGGCGGGUCUCUGGACAGUUCCUGACGCUGAGGCACGAAGGCCAGGGGAGCAAACGGG